AUGGGCAUGAAAUAUCAUAACUCUAAUGAAGAUGACUUCAAGUCUUAUGCUGGAAAACUGAAAUUUCAUAUUGAUUUGAACAAAUUUCCAGAGAUUGAAGAUUCUUUUGAUAUGAAAAAUGCAAAAGAAAAUACAAAGGUGAAUUCUAGACACUAUGCUCACUCAACUUCCAGUUCCUUGGAGAAGACUGAGAACCUUCAUGAAUUUAACAAAGAUGUAGAGGAAGAAGUUCCUUUCAGCCAUGAACAUGAAGCUGUGAAGAAUGAGGUUAUGCAUGUGCUGUGA